CGAGCAGGAGCUCGGUGGUGGAGUUCCGCUUCACAUGCGGAAAGACCUGGGUUCGAUUCCCGGCCGCUUCC
rnacentral:tRNA from 1 species